UACGGAGGGUGCGAGCGUUGUUCGGAAUUACUGGGCGUAAAGGGCGCGUAGGCGGCCUUCUAAGUCAGACGUGAAAUCCCCCGGCUUAACCUGGGAACUGCGUCUGAUACUGGGAGGCUUGAGUAUGGGAGAGGGAUGUAGAAUUCCAGGUGUAGCGGUGAAAUGCGUAGAUAUCUGGAGGAAUACCGGUGGCGAAGGCGGCAUCCUGGACCAUUACUGACGCUGAGGCGCGAAAGCUAGGGGAGCAAACGGG
rnacentral:rRNA from 1 species